UGUUUUAUUUGCACGUAUAAACUUUACUAUUGCUGAGCCUGACUAAUCUUUCAUUUAUAUUUUAACAGGAAGUUCGUGGUAGUACCAAAGUCCCUGAGUCAGAUAUAGUUCAAGCAUGCAGAAAAUUUAGUAUUUGAGAUUUUUCUUAAUAAAUAAAAUAUAAAGAUCAAGCACUUUUCAUAUGCGUUCUUGGAAUUUUAUUCACUUUUUUUUUAUAUGCAUACCACACAAUUAUCAUUCCAGUGGAUGGUUUUUGAAGGAAUAAUUCUUGUCUAAUUCCCAUUAUAUCUUUGUUGGUUCAGCUUCUGGAAGAGAGGCAGAGCAUAAACGUUUUCCGAUUUCUGCAAGCAAUUAACAGGAGAUCUGACAUUACGGAAGUCUGUGUGGAUGGAAUACAUCACUUUCUUAAAGUCAUUGCUGGCAUCACAUCCAUAGGAAGAGUCAUUACGAAUGAUUGAUGUAUCAAAAAGCCAUUGUCACUCCUGUGCAUCACAUUAAACAAAUUUGGAGGGACUAUGAGAAUUUUGAAAAUUCGGUUAGUCGACAACUGGUAAUUUGUUGGUUUCUAUUGGUUGGUACUUUUGUUUAGCAUUGGUUGGCAAAUGGCAUCUUUAAUUAGACAUAUGAUUUAUAUCUUGGUAGUUUUAGCUGUAUAAUGGAGGCAAGUACAAUAUUUAAGGUUCGAUCUUAUGCCCAAAGCCUAGAUCUGAUAUUUACCUAAGUAUUCAUUGUGUA